rnacentral:rRNA from 1 species
UACGUAGGGGGCAAGCGUUGUCCGGAUUUAUUGGGCGUAAAGCGAGUGUAGGUGGUUGUCCAAGUUGGAUGUGAAAGCCUUGAGCUCAACUCAAGAAAUGCAUUCAGGACUGGGCGGCUAGAGGACCGGAGAGGAUAGUGGAAUUCCCAGUGUAGUGGUGAAAUACGUAGAGAUUGGGAAGAACACCAGUGGCGAAGGCGGCUAUCUGGACGGUUUCUGACACUAAGACUCGAAAGCGUGGGGAGCAAACAGG